rnacentral:rRNA from 1 species
GCACCGGCUAACUCCGUGCCAGCAGCCGCGGUAAUACGGAGGGUGCGAGCGUUAAUCGGAAUUACUGGGCGUAAAGCGCAUGCAGGUGGUUUGUUAAGUUCAGAUGUGAAAGACCCGGGGCGUCAACCUCGGAAUUGCAUUUGUAAACUAGGCAGACUAGAGUACUGUAGAGGGGGGUAGGAAGUUUCUAGGUGUAGCGGUGAAAUAGCGUAGAGAUCUGAAGGAAUACCGGUGGCGAAGGCGGCCCCCUCGGACAGAUACUGACACUCAGAUGCGAAAGCGUGGGGAGCAAACAGGAUUAGAUACCCCUGGUAG